rnacentral:rRNA from 1 species
AAUUAGAGGAAGUAAAAGUCGUAACAAGGUCUCCGUUGGUGAACCAGCGGAGGGAUCAUUACUGA